rnacentral:rRNA from 1 species
AGUCGAGGGGCAUCAGGNAAGAAAGCUUGCUUUCUUUGCUGGCGACCGGCGCACGGGUGAGUAACACGUAUCCAACCUGCCCUUUACUCGGGGAUAGCCUUUCGAAAGAAAGAUUAAUACCCGAUAGCAUAAUGAUUCCGCAUGGUUUCAUUAUUAAAGGAUUCCGGUAAAGGAUGGGGAUGCGUUCCAUUAGGUUGUUGGUGAGGUAACGGCUCACCAAGCCUUCGAUGGAUAGGGGUUCUGAGAGGAAGGUCCCCCACAUUGGAACUGAGACACGGUCCAAACUCNUACGGGAGGCAGCAGUGAGGAAUAUUGGUCAAUGGGCGCUAGCCUGAACCAGCCAAGUAGCGUGAAGGAUGAAGGCUCUAUGGGUCGUAAACUUCUUUUAUAUAAGAAAUAAAGUGCAGUAUGUAUACUGUUUUGUAUGUAUUAUAUGAAUAAGGAUCGGCUAACUCCCGUGCCAGCAGCCGCGGUAAUACGGAGGAUCCGAGCGUUAUCCGGAUUUAUUGGGUUUAAAGGGAGCGUAGGUGGACUGGUAAGUCAGUUGUGAAAGUUUGCGGCUCAACCGUAAAAUUGCAGUUGAUACUGUCAGUCUUGAGUACAGUAGAGGUGGGCGGAAUUCGUGGUGUAGCGGUGAAAUGCUUAGAUAUCACGAAGAACUCCGAUUGCGAAGGCAGCUCACUGGACUGCAACUGACACUGAUGCUCGAAAGUGUGGGUAUCAAACAGGAUUAGAUACCCUGGUAGUCCACACAGUAAACGAUGAAUACUCGCUGUUUGCGAUAUACAGUAAGCGGCCAAGCGAAAGCAUUAAGUAUUCCACCUGGGGAGUACGCCGGCAACGGUGAAACUCAAAGGAAUUGACGGGGGGCCCGCACAAGCGGAGGAACAUGUGGUUUAAUUCGAUGAUACGCGAGGAACCUUACCCGGGCCUUUAAAUUGCAGUGGAAUGAUGUGGAAACNAUGUCAGUGAACCAAUCACCGCCUGUGAAGGUGCUGCAUGGNUUGUCGUCAGCUCGUGCCGUGAGGUGUCGGCUUAAGUGCCAUAACGAGCGCAACCCUUAUCUUCAGUUACNUAACAGGUUAUGCUGAGGACUCUGGAGAGACUGCCGUCGUAAGAUGUGAGGAAGGUGGGGAUGACGUCAAAUCAGCACGGCCCUUACGUCCGGGGCUACACACGUGUUACAAUGGGGGGUACAGAAGGCAGCUAGCGGGUGACCGUAUGCUAAUCCCAAAAUCCUCUCUCAGUUCGGAUCGAAGUCUGCAACCCGACUUCGUGAAGCUGGAUUCGCUAGUAAUCGCGCAUCAGCCACGGCGCGGUGAAUACGUUCCCGGGCCUUGUACACACCGCCCGUCAAGCCAUGGGAGCCGGGGGUACCUGAAGUACGAACCGCAAGGAUCUCCUAGG